GACGAACGCUGGCGGCGUGCUUAACACAUGCAAGUCGAACGGAAAGGCCCUGCUUUUGUGGGGUGCUCGAGUGGCGAACGGGUGAGUAACACGUGAGUAACCUGCCCUUGACUUUGGGAUAACUUCAGGAAACUGGGGCUAAUACCGGAUAGGAGCUCCUGCUGCAUGGUGGGGGUUGGAAAGUUUCGGCGGUUGGGGAUGGACUCGCGGCUGAUCAGCUUGUUGGUGGGGUAGUGGCUUACCAAGGCUUUGACGGGUAGCCGGCCUGAGAGGGUGACCGGCCACAUUGGGACUGAGAUACGGCCCAGACUCCUACGGGAGGCAGCAGUGGGGAAUAUUGCACAAUGGGCGGAAGCCUGAUGCAGCCACGCCGCGUGCGGGAUGACGGCCUUCGGGUUGUAAACCGCUUUCGCCUGUGACGAAGCGUGAGUGACGGUAAUGGGUAAAGAAGCACCGGCUAACUACGUG
rnacentral:rRNA from 1 species